AAUUGGAGGGCAAGUCUGGUGCCAGCAGCCGCGGUAAUUCCAGCUCCAAUAGCGUAUAUUAAAGUUGUUGCAGUUAAAAAGCUCGUAGUUGAAUUUCGGGAUCAAUAUUUCGGUCAUGCCGUUGGUAUGCACUGUUAUCAUUGAUUUCUCACCUUCUAAAGAACCGUAAUGCCAUUAAUUUGGUGUUACGGGGAAUUAGGACUGUUACCUUGAAAAAAUUAGAGUGUUUAAAGCAGGCUCACGCUUGAAUACAUUAGCAUGGAAUAAUGAAAUAGGACAUCCGAUUCUAUUUUGUUGGUUUCUAGGAUCGAUGUAAUGAUUAAUAGGGAUAGUUGGGAGCAUUAGUAUUCAAUUGUCAGAGGUGAAAUUCUUGGAUUUAUUGAAGACUAACUACUGCGAAAGCAUUUGCCAAGGAUGUUUUCAUUAAUCAAGAACGAAAGUUAGGGGAUCGAAGACGAUCAGAUACCGUCGUAGUCUUAACCAUAAACUAUGCCGACUAGGGAUCGGAUGAUGUUAAUUUUUUAAUGACUCAUUCGGCGCCUUACGGGAAACCAAAGUGU
rnacentral:rRNA from 1 species